UUAUUCACCUGUUUAUCAAAACAUGGCCUAUUGAAUAUAAUUUUAGGUCGAUCUGCUCCAUGAAAUAAAUUUAAAUAGCUGCAGUAUAUUGACUGUACAAAGGUAGCAUAAUAAAUUGUCUUUUAAUUGAAGAAUUGAAUGAAUGAAUUGAUGAAAUAACAACUGUCUCUAUUUUAUUUAAUGAAUUUAAAUUUUUAGUAAAAAUUCUGAAAUUUAAUUAUGGGACGAUAAGACCCUAUAGAAUUUUAUUUAAUAUAAUUAUUUAUUUAAAUUAUUUGUGAAUAUAUAAUUAAUUUAAAUUUGAUUGGGAGGAUUGGUAAAUAAAAAUAACUUUAUCUAAAAAUUAAUUUUGAUGAAAAGAUUUUUUUUGACUUAUAAUUUAUGAUUAAAAGAAUAAAUUACCUUAGGGAUAACAGCGUAAUAUCUUUUGAUAGACCACAUUGAUAAAGAUGUUUGCGACCUCGAUGUUGAAUUAAGAGAAAAGUUAAACGCAGGAGUUUAAAAUUUUAAGUCUGUUCGACUUUUAAAAUCUUACAUGAUUUGAGUUCAAAUCGACGUAAGUCAGAUUGGUUUCUAUCUAUA
rnacentral:rRNA from 1 species